rnacentral:rRNA from 1 species
GACGAACGCUGGCGGCGUGCUUAACACAUGCAAGUCGAACGGAAAGGCCCUGCUUUUGUGGGGUGCUCGAGUGGCGAACGGGUGAGUAACACGUGAGUAACCUGCCCUUGACUUUGGGAUAACUUCAGGAAACUGGGGCUAAUACCGGAUAGGAGCUCCUGCUGCAUGGUGGGGGUUGGAAAGUUUCGGCGGUUGGGGAUGGACUCGCGGCUUAUCAGCUUGUUGGUGGGGUAGUGGCUUACCAAGGCUUUGACGGGUAGCCGGCCUGAGAGGGUGACCGGCCACAUUGGGACUGCGAUACGGCCCAGACUCCUACGGGAGGCAGCAGUGGGGAAUAUUGCACAAUGGGCGGAAGCCUGAUGCAGCAACGCCGCGUGCGGGAUGACGGCCUUCGGGUUGUAAACCGCUUUCGCCUGUGACGAAGCGUGAGUGACGGUAAUGGGUAAAGAAGCACCGGCUAACUACGU